CUUUACUCAUGGAAGGAUGAUCUUCCUGUAACUUAAUAAGAUAAUGUCGCCAACAAUCUCUUCAAAAAACACCCUGUUGAAACUUGCUGUCCUUGGGCUCUUGCCAGAGCCCAUUCCUGCCUCCUGCCUGCUGUCUGGCUUGUUUUUAGCAGUGGUUGCCUCUGGGCCGGGUUUGUGUUCUUGAAGAACUCAGUUCAGGAUGGUCCUAGCAGCUGAUGGAAGCCUCCAGAGCAAGUGGGUCAGGCUGUCAAGGUGGAACCCCGAGGCUGCAUGUGGCUGUGGAUACAGAAUUGAGUGGGCAUGAUCUGGAGAUACAGCAGCUAACAGCAUCUCCCAGCCCCGUGUGUCUAGAUGGGAGUCACAUGACCGAGGGCCAGACACCAGAAUGCUGGUGACCGUAGGACAUGGACUUCUAGCUCCUCUCCCUCCUCCCUCAAGUGACUGAAAACCAAGAACUGGAAGACACAGGGAAAUGGAAGAAGUCUGUUGGCAGUAGAUGACUUGUUCCCUGAGUCACCAACUGAAGAAGGACAACCCAGAAGUGGGUCUGAUCAGGAACCUCCACUUUGGACUUGCCAUUGGUGAAAAGCAAAAUGACUAUGCUGAGACAUUGAGAUCUUCCCUUGUGGCUCAGCAGCAAAGAACCUGCCUGCAGUACAAAAGAUGAGGGUUUGAUCCUCUGGAGAUCAGGAAGUCCUCUGGAAAAGGAAAUGGCAACCCACUCUAGAAUCCUUACCUGGAAAAUCCCACGGACUGAGGAGCCUGGAGGGCUGCAGUCCGUGGGGUCAUAAGAAUCAGACGCUACUUAGUGACUAAACCACCACCACCACCACAAAACAUUGAGAUCUGGGUGUCCUUUUAUUAUGUCACAGUGAUCAUUUAUCUAGACUGCUAAAACUUACUAUCUAUAUUAAUAUUUAUCAUCACUAGAUUGCAGGAUAUUUAAAUAAACUGAGCAAACCAGGACUAUUGAAAUGAUUU
rnacentral:lncRNA from 1 species